rnacentral:piRNA from 1 species
UAUUUAUUGCCUACCGUGUACCCUCUUUC